rnacentral:rRNA from 1 species
UACGGGAGGCAGCAGUGGGGAAUAUUGCACAAUGGGCGCAAGCCUGAUGCAGCCAUGCCGCGUGUAUGAAGAAGGCCUUCGGGUUGUAAAGUACUUUCAGCGGGGAGGAAGGCGAUGCGGUUAAUAACCGCGUCGAUUGACGUUACCCGCAGAAGAAGCACCGGCUAACUCCGUGCCAGCAGCCGCGGUAAUACGGAGGGUGCAAGCGUUAAUCGGAAUUACUGGGCGUAAAGCGCACGCAGGCGGUCUGUUAAGUCAGAUGUGAAAUCCCCCGGGCUUAACCUGGGAACUGCAUUUUGAAACUGGCAGGCUUGAGUCUUGUAGAGGGGGUAGAAUUCCAGGUGUAGCGGUGAAAUGCGUAGAGAUCUGGAGGAAUACCGGUGGCGAAGGCGGCCCCCUGGACAAAGACUGACGCUCAGGUGCGAAAGCGUGGGGAGCAAACAGGAUUAGAUACC